UACGUAGGGCGCAAGCGUUAUCCGGAAUUAUUGGGCGUAAAGAGCUCGUAGGCGGUUUGUCGCGUCUGCCGUGAAAGUCCGGGGCUCAUCCCCGGAUCUGCGGUGGGUACGGGCAGACUAGAGUGAUGUAGGGGAGACUGGAAUUCCUGGUGUAGCGGUGAAAUGCGCAGAUAUCAGGAGGAACACCGAUGGCGAAGGCAGGUCUCUGGGCAUUAACUGACGCUGAGGAGCGAAAGCAUGGGGAGCGAACAGG
rnacentral:rRNA from 1 species